rnacentral:rRNA from 1 species
GACGAACGCUGGCGGCGGGCUUAACACAUGCAAGUCGAACGGAAAGGCCCUGCUUUUGUGGGGUGCUCGAGUGGCGAACGGGUGAGUAACACGUGAGUAACCUGCCCUUGACUUUGGGAUAACUUCAGGAAACUGGGGCUAAUACCGGAUAGGAGCUCCUGCUGCAUGGUGGGGGUUGGAAAGUUUCGGCGGGUGGGGAUGGACUCGCGGCUUAUCAGCUUGUUGGUGGGGUAGUGGCUUACCAAGGCUUUGACGGGUAGCCGGCCUGAGAGGGUGACCGGCCACCUUGGGACUGAGAGACGGACCAGACGCGUACGGGACGCAGCAGUGGGGAAUAUUGCACAAUGGGCGGAAGCCUGAUGCAGCAACGCCGCGUGCGGGAUGACGGCCUUCGGGUUGUAAACCGCUUUCGCCUGUGACGAAGCGUGAGUGACGGUAAUGGGUAAAGAAGCACCGGCUAACUACGUG